UACGGAGGGUGCAAGCGUUAUCCGGAUUCACUGGGUUUAAAGGGUGCGUAGGUGGGCAAGUAAGUCAGUGGUGAAAUCUCCGGGCUUAACUCGGAACGGCCAAGUGAUACUGUCGCGCUAGAGUGCGGAAGGGGCAACUGGAAUUCUCGGUGUAGCGGUGAAAUGCGUAGAUAUCGAGAGGAACACCUGCGGCGAAGGCGGGUUGCUGGGCUGACACUGACGCUGAAGCGCGAAAGCUAGGGGAGCGAACGGG
rnacentral:rRNA from 1 species